AAAUCCGGAGGAAGGUGAGGAUGAUGUCAAGUCAGCAUGACCUUUAUAUCCAGGGCUACACACACGCUACAAUGGUCUGUACAAUGGGUAGCCAAGCCGCGAGGCGGAGCCAAUCCUGAAAGCAGGCCUCAGUUCAGAUUGCAGUCUGCAACUCGACUGCAUGAAGCCGGAGUUGCUAGUAACCGCAGGUCAGCAAUACUGCGGUGAAUACGUUCCCGGGUCUU
rnacentral:rRNA from 1 species